GUCGAGAAUCUUCCGCAAUGCGCGAAAGCGUGACGGAGCGACACCGCGUGAUGGAUGAAGUCCUUCGGGGCGUAAACAUCUUUUAUAAAGGAGGAAAUUUUUGACGUUACUUUAUGAAUAAGGGGCUCCCACUCUCGUGCCAGCAGGAGCGGUAAUACGAGAGCCUCAAGCGUUAUCCGGAAUCAUUGGGCGUAAAGGGUGCGUAGUUGGUUUGAUUAGUCUCCCGUUAAAACUUCGAGCUUAACUCGAAAAGGGCGGGGGAAACGGUCAAACUAGAGUAUGUGAGAGGUGUGUGGAACUCAUGGUGUAGGGGUGAAAUCCGUUGAUAUCAUGGGGAACACCAAAAGCGAAGGCAGCACACUGGCACAUCACUGACACUGAGGCACGAAACCUAAGGUAGCGAAUGGGAUUAGAUACCCGAGUAGUCC
rnacentral:rRNA from 1 species